CCAGGGGUGGGAGUCAGCCGGUUCAGAGCGGUUUGGGGGAACCGGUAGUUCCCACGAUCAGCUGGCCCCGCCCACCCACCCACGUCCCUAUCCUGUCCUAUAUUUCCUUCUUUCUGGCUUAGCUGAUUCACACGGCACAGCUGAUUUCUACACCUCCACUGUUCUACUUACCAGGGUUGCCUUAGAAGAAAGAGAAGCGUAGCUAACAACUAAAGCUGACAAUCCUUGAAUGUCCCAGACACUCCUGCAUUAUGACGUGAGUGCUAAAAGAAGGAAAGGAAGGAAGAUGGAGACGAGAAGACAUUUCAUGAGCUCAUACAUCAGAUUGCCCAGUCUUUCAAGCGGUACAUUUCUCUAGCUUGGUCCCAAAAGCAUAAAAGAAUUGCUUAAAUGUGGUUGUUGUGAAGGACAAAAUCCUCAGAUUUAAUUAAUAACUUGCAUGUAUUUGUCAAAAUCCUGUCCAGAAAAUCAUGGAAAAUGAGAUUCGUGUAAGUUUGAAAGACCGACAAUGCCCUCUUGAGGCUGAAAAAUAGGACUCAAAUUUUCUUCUUGAUAAAAAGGUAAAAGUACCGGCACGAGUGGAGACAAGAUGGAUAAAGACUGCUAUAAGUUG